rnacentral:lncRNA from 1 species
AAAAGUACAAAAAAAUCGUUAUGUAUUUCUAUCAAAGAUAACGGUAAAAACCGUUAUAAAAAGUAAAAAAAACUGUUAACUAUGAUAGAAAAAAAGAAAAAAUACAAACAUAACGGAAAAAUCCUCAUACAUAACGGUAAUAAAUCGUUAUGUAUAAGCAUUAUAGAUAACGGUUUCAUACCGUUAUGUAUAGAAAAAAAACUGUUAACUAUG